UACGUAGGGUGCAAGCGUUGUCCGGAAUUAUUGGGCGUAAAGAGCUCGUAGGCGGUCUGUCGCGUCUGCUGUGAAAUCUGGGGGCUCAACCCCCAGCCUGCAGCUGAUACGGGCAGGCUUGAGUUCGGUAGGGGAGACUGGAAUUCCUGGUGUAGCAGUGAAAUGCGUAGAUAUCAGGAGGAACACCGAUGGCGAAGGCAGGUCUCUGGGCUGACACAUCGACGCUCAUGCACGAAAGCGUGGGGAGCAAACAGG
rnacentral:rRNA from 1 species